UUGGAAUAACCUUUUUGGAUGAUCUUCCAUUUCAGUUACACCUUUUCUUUUUAUUGGCCCAAGAACACUUGGUCGAAUGCAGUUAAUUGGACUCUGGCUUCUCCUGCUUGAAAAUCGCCUUGUUGGACUUGGGCUAGGGCUUGGAGGUAAUCCACUGCUACUCACCAGACUUUGCAAAGAUGGUGAGAAGCAUUGCAGGCUCAAGCUCUCCUCCCAUGACUGGCUCAUCUGCAUUGCUACUUGCACUUCUCUUUCAUGUACUGUUUCUCUGUUCAUCAAGUUCAUUCCUUCUUCCUGUUUGAUUUGAUGAAGACGGCUGCUAGGAAUACGGAUAGGAGAUGAUGGCACAAACAGACUGUGACGAUUCAUAACCGUGGUGCUGUUCCUGCGGGUUCGCAGAACGCUGCCCUGGAACACCUGUGAGUUAUCGCUGAGCCCGUGGAUGAGGGGGGCGCUGUUGGAUCUCCUCAGCCCGCCGCCGUCGCUCGGGGCCGCGGCGCUCCCCGGCGGCAGCUCCAGGUCCAGCUCCAUUUUCUCCUGAGCCAUCGCGGCGGCGGCUCCGGCUCCUCCCGCUCCGCCGCGACGCCCAUUCACUGCCGCCGCCCGCCGCGGCUCCUCACGCCGCGGCCGCCCCUGCAGGCCCCGCGGGCGAGCGGGACCCGGCGAGGGGGGCGGCCCCAGUAGCGACCCAUGCUGGCGGCGGCCCGAGGGCCGGCCCCUUCACACAGCCGCUCUCACCACACUCCGCGAUACCGGCACUGCCGCUACGGAGGGAGGGAGCGAGCGCGCACCUCAAGCCGGACGCCCCCCCUCCCCCCCAGCACACCCAGCGCGCAUGCGCCGCAGGGCGCCCGCACGGCGCCGUGAGCGGAGGCCCCGUGGCGGCAGUGCGCAUGCGCAACGUCACCUCCGCCCUCAGGAGGUCGGGGCGGCCGGGACGCGGUGUGUGUCCUCACCUUAAUUACCUUAUACUGUUUUAUCAAUGGCCGCAUAUUACAGAGUCAUCGGGGUUGGAAGGGAUCUCAAGAUAUCGAGUCCAGCCCCCCUGCCAAAGCAGGUCAUGUAUUGAUGGCGGCGGAGCCCGCGCUGUGGGCUUUCAUCUGCUUGUAGAGCUGGUGGAGUUAUGGAUACCCGUCUGUGUUUAGCACUGAGUCUUCCAUCCUUAUUUUUGCUGUGCGCAGCAGCUUUGAUAGCAGGUAUUUCCCAGGCAAAGACGAAAACCUUCUAAAAUCAGGUGCUGGGAGGGCCCUUAACCCCCACAUGUAAGAGACAAACGCGUAUGUUGAAAUUGCUGUUACAGAAAAGCAUUUGA
rnacentral:lncRNA from 1 species